CUAACGUUAGCUUCAUCGACAGUUAAUGCUAAACUAAGCUAACGGGUGUACUAAGGACAAACAUGCUAACUCUUACUCCCAAAACGUCGAGUUCUUCCUUCAGCUAACACAGAGAGGACACUGUUGCUCCAAAAACCCCAGCCUCUGCAGCCAUGUUGGGAUCAACAGCUCCCAAUUCCCCGAGCCUUGCUGAUAACUCUCAUCCUGCUUCCAGGACUGAAUCAUUUUUUG